AGGAAACGGCGAGGUAGUGCAAAGAGGCGGUGGUUAAGGGUAAUGGUGGUGGUAUGCGAUAGGUUGCGAUGGUGUGCGAAAGGUGUAAGAAAUGUUGACGGCAAAGACGUAGUUCGAUGGUAACGGCAAAGACGUAGUUCGACGCUGACGGUGGAGACACAAUUCGACGAUCACGGUGACGAGGUAGUGCGAAGGGCGACAACAUUGUAGUGCGAAGGGACGUUGGUUAAGGGUAUUGCAGUGGUGUGCGAUAGGUUGCGGUGGUGUGCGAAAGGUGUGGGAAACGCAAUUACAAGAAAAGAGGAGAAAGUAAGUAUGUUUAUUUUGGUUUUUCUGGCAUUUUAAGCUUUAGGGUUUGAUGUUUAGUGUCUUCUUUGAUGAUUGAUAUUAUUGUUGGUCAUUGUAUAUGGGUUUUCAUUUGAAAGUUUGUAUUAUUGAAAAAGUAUUAAACUUUUGUGAUGAGUGAUUGGUCUUGUGGUUUAGUUCACUUGCUUCAUUGUUUACUGUAUCUUGGUCUGCGAUUUUGGGACUGGCUUUCAACGGUUUUUUGAGUUCAAUACAGGUUAUUAUAGAAUUCAACAGUCCAGAGAUGUGAAUUGAAUUGGGGGCCCCCUUGAUUUUAAGUGGGGACCUGUGUACAACUUUAUGCACUGUAUUAAAAUUUUAUCAUGAGUGAUUGGUCUUGUGUUUUAGUUCACUUGCUUCAUUGUUUACUGUUUUUUGUUAUCCGAUUUUGGGACUGGUUUUCAAUUUUUUUUUAGUUUAAUCCAGGUUAUUAUGCAAUUCAACCGUCCAGACCUGUGAAUUGGGGACCCCUUU
rnacentral:lncRNA from 1 species